UACAGGGGUGGCAAGCGUUGUUCGGAAUUACUGGGCGUAAAGGGCGCGUAGGCGGCCUUCUAAGUCAGACGUGAAAUCCCCAGGCUUAACUUGGGAACUGCGUCUGAUACUGGGAGGCUUGAGUGCGGGAGAGGGAUGUGGAAUUCCAGGUGUAGCGGUGAAAUGCGUAGAUAUCUGGAGGAACACCGGUGGCGAAGGCGGCAGCCUGGACCGACACUGACGCUGAGGCGCGAAAGCUAGGGGAGCAAACGGG
rnacentral:rRNA from 1 species